rnacentral:rRNA from 1 species
CCUACGGGAGGCAGCAGUGGGGAAUAUUGGACAAUGGGGGGAACCCUGAUCCAGCGACGCCGCGUGAGUGAAGAAGUAUUUCGGUAUGUAAAGCUCUAUCAGCAGGGAAGAAAGAAAUGACUGUACCUGACUAAGAAGCCCCGGCUAACUACGUGCCAGCAGCCGCGGUAAUACGUAGGGGGCAAGCGUUAUCCGGAUUUACUUGGUGGAAAGGGAGCUUAGGCGGAGUUGCAAGUCUGAAGUGAAAGGCGGGGGACCAACCCCCGGACUGCUGUGGAAACUGUAUGGCUGGAGUGCAGGAGAGGUAAGUGGAAUUCGUAGUGUAGCGGUGAAAUGCGUAGAUAUUAGGAGGAACACCAGUGGCGAAGGCGGCUUACUGGACUGUAACUGACGUUGAGGCUCGAAAGCGUGGGGAGCAAACAGGAUUAGAUACCCUAGUAGUC